rnacentral:rRNA from 1 species
UACGGGGGGGGCAAGCGUUGUUCGGAAUUACUGGGCGUAAAGGGCUCGUAGGCGGCCAACUAAGUCAGACGUGAAAUCCCUCGGCCUAACCGGGGAACUGCGUCUGAUACUGGAUGGCUAGAGGUUGGGAGAGGGAUGCGGAAUUCCAGGUGUAGCGGUGAAAUGCGUAGAUAUCUGGAGGAACACCGGUGGCGAAGGCGGCAUCCUGGACCAAUUCUGACGCUGAUGAGCGAAAGCCAGGGGAGCAAACGGG